rnacentral:misc_RNA from 1 species
CUUCUGAAUCAUUGGCAACCACCUACAUUGCAGAGAGAACUAUUAGAAGCGAUAUAUAUUACCGGAUAUAAAGAAGACUGAAGAAAAGGUGGAAUCAACAGUCAUAGAAGAGAAGAUCAGAUGAACAAAGUAACAGAGAUCAACAAAGAAAAGAAAAAUAACUGUCAAAGAAUAGAUCUGAGAUCUGUGAAUAGAGAAGAAUCCAGAGAACACAGUUAUUUGCUCUGAUAACAUAACAAGAAAUUAAAGCGGAUUGGUGAAGUAAUCAGGAACUUGAUUUUGCAUCUACUUGGGUGAUUCUUUAAUUUCCUGGAAA